AUGUCGGCGGACUGGCCCUCCUAUCUGUGGACGGAUGUAGGAGGAAAUUUGCGGGUUGCCAUUGGAUAUGCCUUAACAACUUAUCAAAGCAGUGAACACGUGUCAAUGAAUCAUGAUGAAGUUAAUAGGAAAAAUUACCAUGUGUCCUUGAGAACGCUUUAA
rnacentral:rRNA from 1 species